rnacentral:pre_miRNA from 1 species
AGUGUUGUUAAGUAGCCAAGGAUGACUUGCCUCACCAAUUUUGGAUGGUCUUUUAUUUGAACAUCUCAUCUUUUCAUUGGUGCUUAGGCAAGUCAUACCUGGCUAGCUAGUUUGACACUCU